CACGUCUGAAAUGUUUAUACAUCUGAAAACUACACUGUCACUCCUUCCUUGCAUAUCGUCACGCCAUCGUGAUCUACGGCUUGAUAGCGCAUGCGCAUUUGCGCUACUAAAGAAAAAAUCGGGUGUUCCGGGGUAAAGAUCCUUUACACAACAUGACAAGCGAAUGUUCUAAAAUUUACAAAAAAUUACGAUAACGAAAGCGAUUCCUCGAUAUUUUUGUGAACUUGGCAAAAGGAUAACAGGAUAUGUAAAUAAGUUAACUGAAAUUGCCUAAAUAACCUUCAAAGCACUGACUAAGUACGAUAAAUCACUACGAACAUAUAUCGUAUACACCCCCCGGAAAGUUUACUGUAUGACUGACUGAAUGAAUGACUGAUACGUUUGAAUUUCCCCCCAGUCAUCACAAUACUGUGAAGUUUCGAAGAAACUUCACACUAAAAA